GAUGAACGCUAGCUACAGGCUUAACACGUGCAAGUCGAGGGGAAACGGCAUCGAAAGCUUGCUUUUGAUGGGCGUCGACCGGCGCACGGGUGAGUAACGCGUAUCCAACCUGCCCAUCACUUGGGAAUAACCUUGCGAAAGUAAGACUAAUGCCCAAUGACAUCCCACGAAGGCAUCCGAAUGGGACUAAAGAUUUAUCGGUGAUGGAUGGGGAUGCGUCUGAUUAGCUUGUUGGCGGGGUGACGGCCCACCAAGGCAACGAUCAGUAGGGGUUCUGAGAGGAAGGUCCCCCACAGUGGAACUGAGACACGGUCCAAACUCCUACGGGAGGCAGCAGUGAGGAAUAUUGAUCAAUGGGCGAGAGCCUGAACCAGCCAAGUAGCGUGCAGGAUGACGGCCCUAUGGGUUGUAAACUGCUUUUAUAAGGGAAUAAAGUGGGUCACGUGUGACUUUUUGCAUGUACCUUAUGAAUAAGGACCGGCUAAUUCCGUG
rnacentral:rRNA from 1 species